GAUGAACGCUGACAGAAUGCUUAACACAUGCAAGUCUACUUGAAGCUAACUUCGGUUAGUGGAGGGUGGCGGACGGGUGAGUAACGCGUAAAGAACUUGCCUCACAGAUUGGGACAACAUUUGGAAACGAAUGCUAAUACCGGAUAUUAUGAUACUUCCGCAUGGAAGAAUCAUGAAAGCUAUAUGCGCUGUGAGAGAGCUUUGCGUCCCAUUAGCUAGUUGGAGAGGUAACGGCUCACCAAGGCGAUGAUGGGUAGCCGGCCUGAGAGGGUGAACGGCCACAAGGGGACUGAGACACGGCCCUUACUCCUACGGGAGGCAGCAGUGGGGAAUAUUGGACAAUGGACCAAAAGUCUGAUCCAGCAAUUCUGUGUGCACGAUGAAGUUUUUCGGAAUGUAAAGUGCUUUCAGUUGGGAAGAAGCAAGUGACGGUACCAACAGAAGAAGCGACGGCUAAAUACGUGCCAGCGGCCGCGGUAAUACGUAUGUCGCAAGCGUUAUCCGGAUUUAUUGGGCGUAAAGCGCGUCUAGGUGGUUAUAUAAGUCUGAUGUGAAAAUGCGGGGCUCAACUCCGUAUUGCGUUGGAAACUGUAUGACUAGAGUACUGGAGAGGUAAGCGGAACUACAAGUGUAGGGGUGAAAUUCGUAGAUAUUUGUAGGAAUGCCGAUGGGGAAGCCAGCUUACUGGACAGAUACUGACGCUAAAGCGCGAAAGCGUGGGUAGCAAACAGG
rnacentral:rRNA from 1 species